CCUACGGGAGGCAGCAGUGAGGAAUAUUGGUCAAUGGUCGGGAGACUGAACCAGCCAAGCCGCGUGAGGGAGGAAGGUACAGAGUAUCGUAAACCUCUUUUGUCAGGGAACAAAGGCGGGGACGUGUCCCCGGAUGAGUGUACCUGAAGAAAAAGCAUCGGCUAACUCCGUGCCAGCCGCCGCGGUAAUACGGAGGAUGCGAGCGUUAUCCGGAUUUAUUGGGUUUAAAGGGUGCGCAGGCGUUCUGUUAAGUCAGCGGUCAAAGCCCGGGGCGAAACCCCGGCCCGCCGUUGAAACUGGGAGUCUCGAGUUGGAGAGAGGUAUGCGGAAUGCGCGGUGUAGCGGUGAAAUGCAUAGAUAGCGCGCAGAACUCCGAUUGCGAAGGCAGCAUGCCGGCUCCACACUGACGCUGAGGCACGAAAGCGUGGGUAUCGAACAGGAUUAGAUACCCUAGUAGUC
rnacentral:rRNA from 1 species